CCAAGUGCCUUUGAGAGAUCAGAGCAGCGAGUUACAAUGCUGUUCUUGUUCCGUUGCGGGCAUAAAUCGAAACCCAUUGAUCUUUUCUUUGCUUCCUCUUGCAAGUAAUCUUCUUUACUGCAAAUCGGAAGAAAAGAUCUCACAUUUCUUUGAUCAGGAACCAAACUCUCUUAUCGUUUCUUUUCCUUCUUGUUGUUGUUUUUGUGAUUAUGUUUGUGAUAUGGCCGAUCCAAAUGGGUUCGUUCAUCUUUAUAUUAGUUCCCAAUUUCACCCGGCCGAAAUUUAAAAUCA
rnacentral:sRNA from 1 species